AAGUCGUAACAAGGUUUCCGUAGGUGAACCUGCGGAAGGAUCAUUAAAGAGAUUAGGGAUCUCAGUGCCACUCUAUAGUGUGCACGCUAUCCCUUAUUUUCCAACCAACCCCUGUGCACAUGGAGAGACUUGUCUAUUAAGACGGAUCUCUAUAUUAAAUAUACACUAUUAGUCUAUUGAAUGUUCAUUGGCCGAAAGGCUCUAAACUAUAACAACUUUUAACAACGGAUCUCUUGGCUCUC
rnacentral:misc_RNA from 1 species